UACGUAGGGGGCAAGCGUUGUCCGGAUUUAUUGGGCGUAAAGAGCGUGUAGGCGGCCAGACAGGUCCGUUGUGAAAACUCGAGGCUCAACCUCGAGAUGUCGAUGGAAACCGUCUGGCUAGAGUCCGGAAGAGGAGUGUGGAAUUCCUGGUGUAGCGGUGAAAUGCGCAGAUAUCAGGAGGAACACCGGUGGCGAAGGCGGAUCUCUGGGCCAUUACUGACGCUGAGGAGCGAAAGCGUGGGGAGCGAACAGG
rnacentral:rRNA from 1 species